CCUUGCCAAGUACCUGGCAGAGCACAGUGCAGGCUUUGUGAGAGCCGGGGGGGGUGCAGCAAGGCUGCUCUUAGAGGGUACCAGCUGCCAGCCUAUUACUGGGAAAGAAAUAGCAGGGGGGGGCACGACCUCCACAUGUCAGAGAGCAUGCAGAGAAGAUUUAAUAGAAAGAUUUGGAGGGGGUGGGGGUUAGGUAUUUUAACCAUUACGUUUGGUUACAAAAAAAAAAUCGGGGCUACUUUCUGCUUCCUGCUUCAUCCCAAAGGUGUUUGAGGACUUUCUGAUGGUAAUAUCGAGUGCAGCAUGUUCGGACGAGCUGCUCCUAUUUCUACAUGGUGAUCAACUAUUGGAAUUCAGUGGGAAAUGGAUAAUUGAACAUUUCAACAUUUGAGGGUUUAAGAAGUUUCGGAGAAAUGAUCGAUACUUCCCAAAUGAUAAUGCUAACAUUAUAUCACGUGGAUAUUGGAGGCUGACUCACUAAUAAUGGAAGGAAGAAUUAAUGUCAACAAUUAGACAUCACCUCGAACUGCAUCCAGUUAAUGGUGCUGGACUUAUUCAGGUGCUGCCAGACCUGCUGAAUUUUCCCAGCAAUUCCUGUUUUUGUUUCUGAUUUUCAAUAUCUGCAGUUCUUUCCUUUGUGUUUUUCACACAUAACAGGAUCUAGGGCUUUGCAGGAAGGUAACAAACAAGGAAAAGGAUGUUCACAUUCUGAAAUUAAUAAAAUCAAUGCUGAAUCCUGAAGCCUGUAUGGUUUGCUGACAACACCAUUGUAGUGGGACGGAUUUCUAACAACGAUGAGUCAAAAUACAGAAGGGAGAUAGAGGGCUUGGUGACAUGGUGUAACGAAAAUCAUCUCUCUCUCAAUGUCAGCAAAACUGAAGAAUAGAUCAUUAACUUUGGAAAGAAAGGAGGCGAACACACCCCCAUCUACAUCAACAGAACUGAGUUUGAGAGGGUGAAGAGCAUCAAGUUCCUCAAAGUGACAAUAACCUACGUCCUGUCAUGGACUUCCCAUGUAGAUGCGACAGUCAAGGAGGCACAAUAACACCACUUCUUCCUCAGGCAGUUCAGGAAAUUUGGCAUGUCCAUAAGGUCCCUCACCAACUUCUACAGAUGCAUUAUUGAAAGCAUACUGUCUAGCUGUACAAUGGCCUGGUAUAGCAACUGCUCUGCUCAGGACCAAGAAACUGCAGAAGGUUGUGUGCACAGCCUGGACCAUCACAGAAGCCAACCUUCCAUCCAUGAACUCUAUUUACAUGGCUCACUGCCACAGAAAGUUGGCCAACAUCAAAGACCCAUCGCACCCUGGUAAUGAUCUCCUACAACCUCUUCCAUCAGGCAGAAGAUCCAGAAGCCAAAACACACACACAAGCAGGUUCAGGAACAGCUUUUUCAUGGCUGUUAUCAGAUUGCUAAAUGGACUCUAACCUCAAAUAAUGUAACCUGCAAGCUUCUAAGGCUUUUUGAUCUGCAUAGCCUUUGCUUGCUGCGAUCUGCCUGCAUCACUCGUAAACAAAAAACUUUUCACUGUAUUUCGGUAUAUGUGACAAUAAAAUCAAUCACAAUUA